GGAAUUCUUUUUGGGGCUACUAUUCUUGCUGCUUUGGUCAUAGACAUGGUUGCAUUGGCAACGUUGCAUGUGUCAUCACUUCACUGUGCAAUCUCACUCUUGUAUUCAUGGCAGAUUCAGACAUUAGCUGCUCUGUGGCGUCUUUUCAGGGGUCGAAAGUGGAAUCCUCUUCGUCAGAGAUUAGAUAGCUAUAACUACACCGUAAAGCAGCAUGUUGUUGGAUCCCUUCUGUUUACACCACUUUUACUAUUGUUACCAACAACUUCUGCUUUCUACAUUUUCUUCACCAUUUUGAACACAGCCAUCACCUUCAUUCGUGUGUUGAUUGAAGUUGUUAUAUCAGUGAUCCAUGGUACACCUUAUAUUAAAAUUUUCCUUAGGUUGGCAAGGCAGAGAAGAUUUCCCUCUGGGAUAUGGUUUGAAAUUGUAUCUUGUAAUGGUGGUUAUCAGGAGUUUUCAUGUCUUCAUGAAGUCAGUUCAUCAUCUGAAAAUUCACGGC
rnacentral:misc_RNA from 1 species